CAGCAGUGGGGAAUCUUGGACAAUGGGGGCAACCGUGAUCCAGCACUGUCGCGUGAGCAUGAAGGCCUUCGGGUUGUAAAGCGCUUUUGUCCGGAAAGAAAUCCCUUUCUUUAAUACGGGGGGAUAAUGACGGUACCGGAAGAAUAAGCACCGGCUAACUUCGUGCCAGCAGCCGCGGUAAUACGUAGGGUGCGAGCGUUAAUCGGAAUUACUGGGCGUAAAGCGUGCGCAGGCGGUUUUGUAAGACAGGCGUGAAAUCCCCGGGCUCAACUUGGGAAUGGCGUUUGUGACUGCAAGGCUAGAGUAUGUCAGAGGGGGGUAGAAUUCCACGUGUAGCAGUGAAAUGCGUAGAGAUGUGGAGGAACACCGAUGGCGAAGGCAGCCCCCUGGGACGUCACUGACGCUCAUGCACGAAAGCGUGGGGAGCAAACAGGAUUAGAUACCCUGGUAGUCCACGCCCUAAACGAUGUCAACUAGUUG
rnacentral:rRNA from 1 species